rnacentral:rRNA from 1 species
UGCGAUACUUGGUGUGAAUUGCAGAAUCCGUGAACAUCGAGUCUUUGAACGCAAGUUGCGCCCGAAGCCAUUAGGCCGAGGGCACAUCUGCC